CCAGGGGCCACCUUCGGAGCUAUAGACGAUGUGCACUGAUGAGCCACGGUGGGAGGGGGGGAGCGUGGUAUUUUACUGGAGAGCUGCACUAAAUAAACACCAGGGCUUAUUCAGGCAGAAGGGAAAUUGUUCAAGAGAGAAGUGUGAGAAUGCAAGAGGCAGGCACUAAAGAGCAAAAACACAACUGUGGUGUUUCUUUUUCUUUUUCUUUUUUGUGGCACGGGACCUUCACACUGAGUUACAUCCUCAACUUUUUUUAUGUUCUAUUUUGAGACAGUGUCUUGUUAAGUUGGCCAGGCCUGGGCUGGAAAUGUGUGAUCCUCCUGCUUCAGACUCUCGAGUAGCUGGGGUUAGAGGUGUGUACCAGCACGCCUGGGUGGAUGGGGUUUUUGAUUGACCUUGAAGCAGCCUGACCUCCUUAGCUUGGGGGCCCCUGAGCUCUCCCACUCCUGGGCCUCUGGACCAUGGGGAUUGGAAGGGGAAGAGCAUGCAGUUUCAGCAGACAGACCAGUGGUGGAGGAGUUGAGUCACCAGUGCAGAGCCCAAUCAGCCUGACCAUGUGGGCAGAGGCAAGAGGCCCCACAGCAGCCCUGUCUUGUGAUGUCACAGAGGAAAGUCCCUGCAUAGGGCGGCAGGCACACUGGUAGGGAGGCCAUGGUGGGUGCUCCUGAGCCUGGAAAAGAAGAGGAGGAGAGAGCCUUGUCUUCCAAAGGGGGAAAUGCACCAUGUGGAGUACUGGGGACCUGCUCAGUUUUCCAGCCAGAGAUCACCAAACUUUGCUGUGCUUCCCAAACUCCAGAUCCUAAAAAUCCCUUGGGACCUUGCACCUUGAUCCUCUGCACCCAGAACUGUGUCUCCCAGCCGUGCUCCAGAGAUUUCUGUCCUGUGUACUGGCCCCAACUUUACCAAGCCAGCCUCAUCCUCCUUCAAGACACAGCAAGAUUUGCAGGGGUGCUCAGCUGCUGGCCUCAGCUUCCUGUCCAGACACCAUGGAGUGACACCCAGAGAUCCCCUAGACCUGCAUCCUGAGACUUCAGGAGAAACAGGGCCUUGUGGACCAAUUUGUGCUGAGUAUUCCCUGACCCCCGAGCAGGAGCAGUAAUCUCAGAGGAACUUGAUUUUCACCUGUGGCCACAAGGACCUCUCACCUCGAAGAAAUAGUCCAGGGAAAACCACCAACCAGGCCAGAGCUUGACUGCAUUAAACUCUGCAGGCACAUACAUGC
rnacentral:lncRNA from 1 species